UCUCAGUGGCGUGCACUUGGAGAGGCCUAUGUCCAGCAGUGGACUGCGAUAGGCAGAUGAUGAUGAUGAUAUUUUAUUGUAUUUGUUUAACUACUUGAUGAAGCGUAUAUUUUAUUUAAUUAAACGUUUUGAUCAAUAUGUGUGCACUAACAUUUACAUAGUAUUUGGGUGUUCGUAUACUAAUAACAGUAAUAACGGAAUUUUAAUUGAAUGAACCGCAGCUAUAACCCCUCGACUGUUGAACGGACUCCAGGAGCUCUCUGUCAAAAAACGGUCAUACUGUUGAACGGACUCCAGGAGCUCUCUGUCAAAAAACGGUCAUCUGCCGCCACAGCCGAGAGGAUAAAAUACCAAAAUCCUUUUAGUAACAAGAUUGUAUUUUCUCCGGUUAUUGUUAAAGUCUCUGAUAGCCUAUCCGAAACUUGUCUGACAGAUAAACUCUAGCUUCCGGUUUCACAUGUACCAACAGCAUUAUUUAGCGGAAAUUCUAAGCAGCUUUGAUCUGGCACAUAGCAUUAACUUGACACUUUGUCGGUAACCAGUGAAACCUGGCCCUAGUCUGAUGUAAAUUCAGUGCGCAUGGUAAUUACACAUUGUAGUAAAUUGUAAUUUAAUAAUCAGUUACCAAUUAAAAUUAGUGAUAAGUUACCAAAUAUUCUUCGGAUCUUCCUGAAACUAUGGAUAUGAUAAAAAAGCUUCUAAAAAUGUGAUGAAGCCUUGUCAACGUAACUGACAAAAUAAAAUGUAAGUUGCAUAGGAUAGGUACGUUGUACAAUAAGUGUAUUGUUUUGCAAGAUUAAAAUAAUCAUUGAUCAUUUCAGUGCUUUUCACCCAAAGGUUGGGCACCAUAUGAUUUUUUCUCCAUUAAAGUCAUUUAGUGAUCUGUAACUAACGUAGUUGAGACAUUUUGCAUAAUCAAAUAUUUGUGUUGCUUUGUUUAACUUAAGUACUUACAGCAAAGAACAAAAUUAUGACUUAUUAAGUUUUGAGGCUGGGUUUUAUUAAUAGUGACUAUAAUGCAUUUAUAUCUACAUAGUAAACACUACAUCAAACUCGCAGUUUUAAAAGUUGAUCUACUACAUAUUGGUUGUAAUAAAUGUACCUACCAUUAAUAA